rnacentral:rRNA from 1 species
UACGUAGGGUGCGAGCGUUUGUCCGGAAUUAUUGGGCGUAAAGGGCUCGUAGGCGGUUUGUCGCGUCGGGAGUGAAAACCAGGUGCUUAACACCUGGCUUGCUUUCGAUACGGGCAGACUAGAGGUAUGCAGGGGGAGAACGGAAUUCCUGGUGUAGCGGUGGAAUGCGCAGAUAUCAGGAGGAACACCGGUGGCGAAGGCGGUCUCUGGGCAUGACCUGACGCUGAGGAGCGAAAGCAUGGGGAGCGAACAGG